rnacentral:rRNA from 1 species
UACAGAGGUCUCAAGCGUUGUUCGGAUUCAUUGGGCGUAAAGGGUGCGUAGGCGGCGCGGUAAGUCGGGUGUGAAAUCUCGGAGCUUAACUCCGAAACUGCAUUCGAUACUGCCGUGCUUUGAGGACUGGGAGGAGGAGACUGGAAUUUACGGUGUAGCGGUGAAAUGCGUAGAUAUCGUAAGGAAGACCAGUGGCGAAGGCGGGUCUCUGGA